CACAAUGAUCGUAGGCACUGCUUUGUUGC
rnacentral:piRNA from 1 species